GUCAGCAGACAAUGCCAGAAGUAAGGGUUGUGCAGAUUGGACAACCCUUACUAGGUUCCACAUAAGUGGGAAACUCCGUGGUCCCUGUACCGUGAAUACUGAGCUCCAUGAUAGGACAUGGUUGUGGCCCCUUGUCCACGUGAAUCCUGAAAGGGAAGCAUCUCUUUAUUGGAAAACUAGACAUUCGUCUUCCACAGAAGUGUCAAGGAAGGAGAAGAAACACAAGGGCCAUAGGUUGAAGAGCACAAUAUGGAUUCCUAGCUGGAUGUGGUGAGUACAGUACACAGUUAUUGCCUGAAGGAGGAGGAUGACUCAAGGCUCAGCUCGCCUGUGACUGGACAACCCCUAGAACUGUACUUUAUGUUCCAAAGAAUUUUUCACGUGAACCCUGUUAGUUCAACAUAAGAUUCAAGGUAUGAGUGUCAAUGGUGGACACCUCUAGUCACAGAGAUUUGGGAGGCUGAGACAGAAGGAGCACUUGAGCCCAGGAGUUCCAGGUCCACCUGGACAACACAGACCUCAUAUCAAAAAGACAAGAUUCAAAAUAUGGCCAACCUCAACAUGACACUAUAAAAGGGAAGCUGAAUUUUACCAAUUUGUACUGCUCUCCAGGAAAGAGACAUGCAGUAUCUGAAAGUGAGGGCUGCUCCUUGCAGUUCCCAGCCUGGGCUGCUCUUCCUGUGCAAGACCCAGAGCUCCAGCCCUGAUGUCUACAGAGGGGGUGAUCAGAAAAUACGAAUUGCUUGGCCUAGAUUCAACGCAACCCAAAAUACAGAAGUGGACACUGGUGCAAACAGAGACAUCCCUGGGAGAAAUCUCAUUCAUUCAUUCAUUCAUUCAUUCAUUCAUUCAUUCAUUCAUCUUCCCAUUCUCUUUUUCCCUAGCCCCCAGGUAACACUCUGAUGGAGCCUAAGAUUCCCGGGGGAGGAGGAAUCUUCCCUGUGAUCAGGGGAACUGCAGGAGAGGGAGGGAAAAACCCUAAUUCUUUUUCUCUCUGUCCUCCUACUAAUUGUCCCAUAAUACAGAUAUACUUGUCGGAAGUAUAUAGCAGACCAGGCUAAGUAAAGCCCCUCCUUUCUGGCCAUAGGACCAAAAUGCCUAGCUCCUUGGGAACUAGAAAUUGUCAGAGAGAAGGAAGGGCUAGGAAAAGAAACCCUAAAAAGUUGUUUAUAAAGUUUUGGGCUCAAUCGUGAGAUGUACAAAAAUAGACCUGACCUUAAAUAGCACACCAUUAAUUUUGAGAACUGAACUACAAAACAAACUAUUGCUUGGGGCCCAGACUGGACAUGGGACACCAUACUUGUACAAAAGGACAGACCUGAAGUCUUGGAAAAUAGAACUGAUAUUGAAACCACAACUCAUAGAAGACUGGUUGGAACUUGUGACCUGACCUCAAGCAGGUAACAAAGCAACAUUCUCCAGACUUUAAUGAGCUCUAGAGUCCUAUAAUCAUCAAAAUGUCCCAGGUACAAUAAAAAUUUCUCAGCACAUAUGAAGAACUGACAAAUUUCAUUGUGUACAGGAAAAGACAAUAAAAACAUCAAUACCAAGAUAAUGCAGAAUUCAAAAUAGCUAUUAUAAAAAUAUUACAAUAUAUAAUGUAAACAUUCUUCAAGUGAAUGAAAGGAUAAAAUGUCUUAGAAAAGGCUAGGAUGUAGCUCAGGGGUAGUAUGCUUGUCUACCAUAUACAAAGCCCCAAGUCCCACUGCCUCUCCCAUCACAAAAAAAGCAUUAGAAAAUAAAUUAAAAAUAUGAAGAAGAACCAGGAGGAAAUUUUAGAAACAAAGACUAAUAUAACAAAUAAAAAUCUCAUUGGUUAGGCUUAAUAGCAGAAUUGAGAUGGCAAAGAGUCAGUAAACAUCAAUAAAAAUUAUAAAAUCUAAGCAAUACCAAAAAAAGAUUGCAAAAUAAAGAACAGAGCUUCAUGAACCUGUGAGGAGAUAACAAAACAAUCAACAGCUUUGUCAAAGGAGUCCUAGAAAGAAAGGAGAAAGAAUCUGGUGUAUAAGAAAAUCUUAAGAAAGAAUGACUAUUCCCCAAAUUUGGAGAAAAAUAUAAAUCUGCAGAUUUCAGAAAAUUCCAAACAAAAUCCAUGCCCAUGCAUAUUGUUACCAAACUGCAGAAAACUCAAGAAAAAAUAUUUAAAACAGCUAGAGAAAACACAUAACUUCUAAGAGAAUGUGAUUGAAAUUGCUACAGAUUUUUCCAGAAGGAAAAACAUUUUCAAAGUGCUGAAAGAAAAGAACUGUCAACCCAUAAAUCUACAGCUAGUAAAAAUAUCCUUCAGGAAUAAAGAAGUGAAGCCAUUUUCAAGUGAAGGACUACUAAGAGAUUUCAUUGUCAUUAGCCUGCAUUUUCUAGAAAGUAGGAAUAUCAGGAAGAUAUGAAGGAAGCCAACAAAAUGGUAAACACCUGGGUAAAUACCCUAGACUUUCUUCUUGAGUCCUUUAGAAUAUAAUUGAUGGUUGGAAGGAAGAGGUUUAAUAUUGUCUAGUGGGGGUUUUAAUAGAUGCAGCUGUAACAAGACAAGCACAACAUAAAGGAACCUUCUAUGUUGAAAACACACUACUUGAGAAGGUAAAAUAGUGAUUCUACACAGACUGUGAAAAGUUAAGUAUGUAUAUUUUAAUCCCUAAAAUAAAUACUUUAAAAUUACACAAAGAGAUAUUUAGCAAAAA